rnacentral:rRNA from 1 species
GAUGAACGCUGGCGGCGUGCCUAAUACAUGCAAGUCGAGCGAACAGACGAGGAGCUUGCUCCUCUGACGUUAGCGGCGGACGGGUGAGUAACACGUGGAUAACCUACCUAUAAGACUGGGAUAACUUCGGGAAACCGGAGCUAAUACCGGAUAAUAUAUUGAACCGCAUGGUUCAAUAGUGAAAGACGGUUUUGCUGUAACUUAUAGAUGGAUCCGCGCCGCAUUAGCUAGUUGGUAAGGUAACGGCUUACCAAGGCAACGAUGCGUAGCCGACCUGAGAGGGUGAUCGGCCACACUGGAACUGAGAGACGGUCCAGACUCCUACGGGAGGCAGCAGUAGGGAAUCUUACGCAAUGGGCGAAAGCCUGACGGAGCAACGCCGCGUGAGUGAUGACGGUCUUCGGAUCGUAAAACUCUGUUAUUAGGGAAGAACAAAUGUGUAAGUAACUAUGCACGUCUUGACGGUACCUAAUCAGAAAGCCACGGCUAACUACGUG